rnacentral:rRNA from 1 species
CUACGGGAGGCAGCAGUGGGGAAUAUUGGACAAUGGGCGCAAGCCUGAUCCAGCCAUACCGCGUGUGUGAAGAAGGCCUUCGGGUUGUAAAGCACUUUAAGUAAGGAAGAAAAGUAUAUUGUUAAUACCAAUGUACCGUGACAUUACUUACAGAAUAAGGACCGGCUAAUUCCGUGCCAGCAGCCGCGGUAAUACGGAAGGUCCAAGCGUUAAUCGGAAUUACUGGGCGUAAAGCGCGCGUAGGUGGUUUAUUAAGUUGGGUGUGAAAGCCCCGGGCUCAACCUGGGAACUGCAUCCAAAACUGAUUCACUAGAGUACGAAAGAGGGAGGUAGAAUUCACAGUGUAGCGGUGGAAUGCGUAGAUAUUGUGAAGAAUACCAAUGGCGAAGGCAGCCUCCUGGUUCUGUACUGACACUGAGGUGCGAAAGCGUGGGUAGCGAACAGGAUUAGAUACCCUGGUAGUCCACGCCGUAAACGAUGACAACCAGCUGUUGGGAAGCAAUGCUUUUCAGUGGCGCAGCUAACAUCUUAAGUUGUCCGCCUGGGGAGUACGGCCGCAAGGUUAAAACUCAAAU